rnacentral:rRNA from 1 species
GAUCAGUGGCUCGAGGACGAACGCUGGCGGCGUGCCUAACACAUGCAAGUCGAACGAGGUCCAGGGAAGCUUGCUUCCUGAAGACCUAGUGGCGAACGGGUGAGCAACACGUGAGAAACCUGCCUCGGAGUGGGGAAUAACUCGGGGAAACUCGAGCUAAUACCGCAUACCUUCACAUGAUCGCAUGGUACGAGUGAAGAAAGAAUUUCGCUCUGAGAGGGUCUCGCGGCCUAUCAGCUUGUUGGUGGGUAACGGCCUACCAAGGCAACGACGGGUAGCUGGUUUGAGAGAACGAUCAGCCACACUGGGACUGAGACACGGCCCAGACUCCUACGGGAGGCAGCAGUGGGGAAUCUUGCGCAAUGGGCGAAAGCCUGACGCAGCAACGCCGCGUGCGGGAUGACGGCCUUCGUGGUUGUAAACCGCUUUCAGCAGGGACGAAAAUGACGGUACCUGCAGAAGAAGCCCCGGCUAACUACGUG